UUCGUUAACGAACGAGACCUUAACCUGCUAAAUAGCCCGCGUUGCCUUGGCAGCGUGCUGGCUUCUUAGAGGGACUAUCGGCUCAAGCCGAUGGAAGUUUGAGGCAAUAACAGGUCUGUGAUGCUCUUAGAUGUUCAGGGCCGCAUGCGCGCUACACUGACAGAGCCAGCGAGUACUCCCUUGGCCGGAAGGCCCGGGUAGUCUUGUUAAACUCUGUCGUGCUGGGGAUAGAGCAUUGCAAUUAUUGCUCUUCAACGAGGAAUCCCUAGUAAGCGCAAGUCAUCAGCUUGCAUUGAUUACGUCCCUGCCCUUUGUACACACCGCCCGUCGCUAGUACCGAUUGAAUGGAUC
rnacentral:rRNA from 1 species